UCCUGGCUCAGGAUGAACGCUAGCUACAGGCUUAACACAUGCAAGUCGAGGGGAAAUGACAUCGAAAGCUUGCUUUUGAUGGGCGUCGACCGGCGCACGGGUGAGUAACGCGUAUCCAACCUGCCCACCACUUGGGGAUAACCUUGCGAAAGUAAGACUAAUACCCAAUGACGUCUCUAGAAGACAUCUGAAAGAGAUUAAAGAUUUAUCGGUGAUGGAUGGGGAUGCGUCUGAUUAGCUUGUUGGCGGGGUAACGGCCCACCAAGGCGACGAUCAGUAGGGGUUCUGAGAGGAAGGUCCCCCACAUUGGAACUGAGACACGGUCCAAACUCCUACGGGAGGCAGCAGUGAGGAAUAUUGGUCAAUGGACGAGAGUCUGAACCAGCCAAGUAGCGUGCAGGAUGACGGCCCUAUGGGUUGUAAACUGCUUUUAUAAGGGAAUAAAGUGAGUCUCGUGAGACUUUUUGCAUGUACCUUAUGAAUAAGGACCGGCUAAUUCCGUGCCAGCAGCCGCGGUAAUACGGAAGGUCCGGGCGUCAUCCGGAUUUAUUGGGUUUAAAGGGAGCGUAGGCCGGAGAUUAAGCGUGUUGUGAAAUGUAGACGCUCAACGUCUGCACUGCAGCGCGAACUGGUUUCCUUGAGUACGCACAAAGUGGGCGGAAUUCGUGGUGUAGCGGUGAAAUGCUUAGAUAUCACGAAGAACUCCGAUUGCGAAGGCAGCUCACUGGAGCGCAACUGACGCUGAAGCUCGAAAGUGCGGGUAUCGAACAGGAUUAGAUACCCUGGUAGUCCGCACGGUAAACGAUGGAUGCCCGCUGUUGGUCUGAAUAGGUCAGCGGCCAAGCGAAAGCAUUAAGCAUCCCACCUGGGGAGUACGCCGGCAA
rnacentral:rRNA from 1 species